rnacentral:sRNA from 1 species
UGGGUAUCCUGCGUCUACCUUGGCCUUGUCUUGUG